UUACUACAGCUUUCUCAGAGUUUCCAUCAAGAUAUAGUUUGCACCGACCAUCACCACGGCCUCCAGUUUUCAACCAGGCAAUAGAACCCAUUGUGCCUCACUGCUCACUGCUUGUCAAGUCCACAAUAAGUGAUUGUAUUUAUUUAUCCAUGAGAGACACAGAGAAAGAGGCUGAGGCACAGGCAGAUGGAGAAGCUGACUCCCUAUGGGGAACCUGAUGCAGGACUUGAUCCCAGGACCCCAGGAUCACGAUCUGAGCCAAAGGCAGAUGCUCAACCACUGAACCACUCAGGUGCUCCUUUUUAUGAUCUUCAACUAAGAUAUUUUGUCUAUUGGAAGAUACAUCAGAGGAAAACCACUUUGAUCUAAAUGGAAGGAGCUUUAUCAGGUAUCCCUGUUUAAGAUGUCUGGACUUCUGGAUUCUAAAACAAUUGACUUUUGCUGUAACCUCUCGACUGAUGGUUCAACUUAUUUUAUAUCAACAACACCAACAAAAGUCCUAGAGAGAUCCUACUUUGUCUCACUCAGAAGGUUUAUGCUUGUCUUUUAGUUGUUCAGAAACCUACUCUAUUCCUUCAAAUUGAGCGAAAGUAGAGAUUGACAAUGUUGGACUUUAUCUGAGCUCUGUAUUCCUAGAAAACAGUGAUAGUUAAUAAAUCCCCCAUAUUUUGUUUCCAGGAAAGGAGUUACUGAAAAGAGGCACCACUCUUCUCCAUA